GGACGAACGCUGGCGGCGUGCUUAACACAUGCAAGUCGAACGGAAAGGCCCUGCUUUUGUGGGGUGCUCGAGUGGCGAACGGGUGAGUAACACGUGAGUAACCUGCCCUUGACUUUGGGAUAACUUCAGGAAACUGGGGCUAAUACCGGAUAGGAGCUCCUGCUGCAUGGUGGGGGUGGGAAAGUUUCGGCGGUUGGGGAUGGACUCGCGGCUUAUCAGCUUGUUGGUGGGGUAGUGGCUUACCAAGGCUUUGACGGGUAGCCGGCCUGAGAGGGUGACCGGCCACAUUGGGACUGAGAUACGGCCCAGACUCCUACGGGAGGCAGCAGUGGGGAAUAUUGCACAAUGGGCGGAAGCCUGAUGCAGCAACGCCGCGUGCGGGAUGACGGCCUUCGGGUUGUAAACCGCUUUCGCCUGUGACGAAGCGUGAGUGACGGUAAUGGGUAAAGAAGCACCGGCUAACUACGUG
rnacentral:rRNA from 1 species